GAAUGUUCAGCCCCCCUGUCCUCUGCAACAUUAGCCCACACUUGCCAUAUGAGACAUCUGUGGUUUUCCUGUGAACAAGCUCCACAUCUACUUCUCUAUUGAAACAUUUAUUCUAUGUCCCAGUCACAGCCACCAUAUUCUGUGAAGUCAGACUAACAGUAUGUAUGUAGCUCUCUAAAAAAUAGCUUUGUUCAUCCCUGAUAUGGCUGGUUAUCUGUUUUUGGUCAUCCUCCUUUUCAGUGAGUUUUUCCUCCAUUCCAAAUUCCAUCAUCUGUUUGUGCUACAGGUUAUUCCUCUUCUUCUUCUUCUUUCCCUUCUUUUAGUCUUUUACUUUAGGAACUCUUGAUAUUUCUACAUUUUAUGGUUAUAAUAAGUGUCUUAUUCCAUUGAUCAUCCAAUUUAUACAUUUUUCUCUGUCAUUAUUUUACAUUUUGUUCAGCUAAGGAGGACCACUGCUUGAUAACAUGGCCGUGAAUGCAUUACAGGCUAUUCUGCUUCUCCAACUUGUGUAAAGUGUUCCCCUCUCAUGUUUUCUUAUUUUUCAUAAUGGUAAAAAGAGCAUGAUAAUGACGCAUUUUGUUAUUUCUAGAUACCUUCCAAUACAUCAAAGGCCAAGAUCUUCCUCAGCCCAGUCUAACAGUGAUUCCUGCAGUCAUCAAAGAGAGAGACUCAGUUCAGCUGAACUGUCAGACUGCUCCAUCUGUCUCUGAGUGUUACUUCAAAAUAGAGGGGCAAGUGGAAUUUACCCUACCAUCACCCUGUCAACAGACACUCACAGGAACACUACUGUUGAGGUGGACAGGUCAGAGUUCACCAGCUGAGGUCAAAAUACAAUGUCAGUACAUUGCUACAGGUUCACAGUUUAGAUCCAUAUACAGUGAGCCUUCUACAGUCACAAUUCAGGACCAUCCUCAGCUGACAGUGAGUUCUGCAGUCAUCAGAGAGAGAGAAUCAGUUCAGCUGAGUUGUCAGACUCCUCCAUCUCUCCAUGUGUCUCACUGUUACUUCUACAUAGAGGGGGUGAAGAAUCUUCCAGACUCAUUGUGUACGCAGACAAUAACAGGAACUGAGCUGCUCAAGAGGGCGGGAUCAACAAUUCCAGCUGUGGUCAAAGUGAAAUGUUACUACUCUAUAGGGAAGUCUCACAAAUCUCCUUUCAGUGACCCUGUCUCAGUCACUGUUCAGGGUAAGUAGGUGGUUUGUAAAAUUAUACACUUCACUGUUAUACUGUAUGCUCAUUAUGCUUGUUCAGAAAAUUAGAUCUUAUGUCAUAUUUCACCAAUGUCUUCAUUUCACUUAAUAGGUCUUACUGUAGGUUUUACUGUACUAUGCAAACAUAGAUACUGAUGUAGUUGAAAAUGAAGAGUUCGACAGUAUUUAUAGAUUUUACAUACUGUUAGUGUGUAUGGAUUACCUGUAAUGUUUUUAAAUGCAACAAUCAAAGAAGCACACUCUAUUCUUCUGAUCUCACAGACCCACCUCCUCCCAGGCUGACAGUCAGUUUUACAGUAAUCAGAGAAAGAGACUCCUCCAUCUCUGUGUCUCCCAAACUAACACACCAGUUCAUUCCCGAUCGGUGGCCAAUGUUCAUUUGGGUCUUUCUGAGCAGGGUUCGUCUCUUCCUCCCGAGCAGGGAUCGUAAGUCGAUGGCUGGUCUGGUAGUCGAUGGCUGGUCUGGUAGUCGAUGGCUGGUCUGGUAGUCGAUGGC